rnacentral:tRNA from 1 species
AGGAAGUAGUUCAGUGGUAGAGCACUGGCCUAACAUGCAUGAGGUCCUGGGUUGAAUCCCCAGUGCUG